rnacentral:rRNA from 1 species
UUCGCCUUCAUGAAGCCGGAAUUGCUAGUAAUGGCAGGUCAGCAUACUGCCGUGAAUACGUUCCCGGGCCUUGUACACACCGCCCGUCACACCAUGAGAGUUGGGAAUACCCGAAGCCUGUGAGCUAACUUUAGGGAGGCAGCAGUCGAAGGUAGAAUCAAUGAUUGGGGUGAAGUCGUAACAAGGUAAC